rnacentral:lncRNA from 10 species
ACCUGCUGAGAGCUGUUGCCAUGAAGAGAAAUCCAACAGGAGCUGUGCCUGUAGAUAGGCGAGACCGGCUACUGCCAGAGUUGGAGGUGGGAGAGGCUGUUAAAACUUAAAUGAAAGCAGACACAGCAGUGAAGGCCAGAGACUGGAGCACAAGGAGGUUUUAGUCGGCUUGUUGUUCCUGGUGUUCCCGUUCAUUCCAGCCAGCAACCUCUUCUUCAGGGUGGGUUUUGUGGUGGCGGAGAGAGUCCUUUACAUGCCUAGCAUGGGCUACUGCAUCCUUUUUGUGCAUGGACUGAGCAAGCUCUGCACUUGGCUGAAUCGAUGUGGGGCCACCACCCUGAUUGUGUCCACUGUGUUGCUGCUGUUGCUUUUCUCUUGGAAAACUGUGAAACAGAAUGAAAUUUGGCUGUCAAGAGAGUCCCUAUUCAGGUCUGGAGUUCAAACUCUGCCCCACAAUGCCAAGG